UACGGGGGGAGCAAACGUUGUUCGGAAUUACUGGGCGUAAAGGGCGUGUAGGCGGUCCCGUAAGUGGUGUGUGAAAUCCGAUGGCUCAACCAUCGAGCUGCGCUCCAUACUGCAGGACUUGAGUACAGCAGAGGAGAGUGGAAUUCCUGGUGUAGCGGUGAAAUGCGCAGAUAUCAGGAGGAACACCGAUGGCGAAGGCAGGUCUCUGGGCUGUAACUGACGCUGAGGAGCGAAAGCAUGGGGAGCGAACAGG
rnacentral:rRNA from 1 species